rnacentral:rRNA from 1 species
GGCGAGUGGCGAACGGGUGAGUAAUACAUCGGAACGUGCCCUGUCGUGGGGGAUAACUAGUCGAAAGAUUAGCUAAUACCGCAUACGACCUGAGGGUGAAAGCGGGGGACCGUAAGGCCUCGCGCGAUAGGAGCGGCCGAUGUCUGAUUAGCUAGUUGGUGGGGUAAAGGCCCACCAAGGCGACGAUCAGUAGCUGGUCUGAGAGGACGAUCAGCCACACUGGGACUGAGACACGGCCCAGACUCCUACGGGAGGCAGCAGUGGGGAAUUUUGGACAAUGGGGGCAACCCUGAUCCAGCAAUGCCGCGUGUGUGAAGAAGGCCUUCGGGUUGUAAAGCACUUUUGUCCGGAAAGAAAUCCCCUGCUCUAAUACAGCGGGGGGAUGACGGUACCGGAAGAAUAAGCACCGGCUAACUACGUGCCAGCAGCCGCGGUAAUACGUAGGGUG